rnacentral:rRNA from 1 species
UACGGAGGGUGCAAACGUUGCUCGGAAUCAUUGGGCGUAAAGCGCACGUAGGCGGCUCGUUAAGUCGGAUGUGAAAGCCCUGGGCUCAACCCAGGAAGUGCAUACGAAACUGGCGAGCUUGAAUCUGGAAGAGGGUCGCGGAAUUCCCGGUGUAGAGGUGAAAUUCGUAGAUAUCGGGAGGAACACCAGUGGCGAAGGCGGCGACCUGGGCCAAUAUUGACGCUGAGGUGCGAAAGCGUGGGGAGCAAACAGG